rnacentral:rRNA from 1 species
AGUAAUUGAUUUUGUUACUUUAUUUUUAGUUAAUUAAUAUUAAACAUGUAAUUAUUAAUAUCAAUUAAGUUUUUAUUAAAUAUAAAAAUAUUAAUAUAUUUUUCAGUUUUUAAUAUUAUACAUUUUAAUAUAAUAAAAUAUAGUGAUUAGUUUUUAAUAUUAACAAAUUUUAGUGCCAGCAGUUGCGGUUAUUCUAAUAAUAUAAUUUAAAAAUUGUAGGUUAGGUAUUAAAUUAAAUUUAAUUUAUUUUAAUGUAUAUAUAUUAAGUGAAAUUUUAUAUAUUUUAUAAAUAAUGGUAGAUUAUAUAUUAAAUUUAAUAUGAAACUAGGAUUAGAUACCCUAUUAUAUUUUUAUAAAUAUAAAACCUUAUUAGUAAUAGUUUAUAUCUUAAAAAUAAAAAAAUUUGGCGGUAAUUAAUAAUUGUUUAGAGGAACCUGUUUUUUAAUCGAUAAUCCACGAUUUAUUUUACCUUAUAUAUUUCUUAUAUACCGCUAUCAUAGAAUACUUUAAGAGAAAAAUUUCAAUGAUUAUUUUAAUAUUAAAUGUUAGGUCAAGGUUUAGUUUUAUAAGGUUAAAAUGGGUUACAUUAAUUUUAAUUUUGGAUUUUAAGUUUUGAUAUUUAAAUAAAAUUGGAUUUAAUUGUAAUAUUAAAAUUAAUAUUUUUUAUGAAAUUAUUAUGAUUAUGCACAUAUCGCCCGUCAUUCUCAUAAAUUGAGACAAGUCGUAACAAAGUAGGGGUAUUGGAAAAUGUUCCUGGAUUAUA